rnacentral:tRNA from 1 species
GGAGAGGUGCAAGAGUGGUUUAAUUGGGUCGCCUGGAAAGCGGCUGUGCGUUAAUAGCGCACCGAGAGUUCGAAUCUCUCCCUCUCCGCCA